AGGAGGGCAACUGGAGCAGCAUGGAGGGGUGGCACCAUCUUGCUGAGUCCAGCAAGUGCCAGGUGUUUGCUCUCUCAUGGGUGCCAGUGGCUUCCAAAGGCCUUUUCAGUUUUCCCUGCUGGGUGGACUUGAAGGAGGGUGUCUCUGUAUGGGGCUAGGGCCCCAAGCUGCUCAGGCUAACUGGUCUCUCUUGCAGGGCAGUGUUGCAUCAGGCCUGAGGUUCCCCACCCCCCAUGCUUGAGUCAGUUCCCUGGCUUGGACAGUGCCCCACUCCACACAGAAGCUGCAGGCCCAGGCUGCUGCAGUGGAAGGAGCACAGCCAGCCUCCGAGGUGGGGAAGGAUGCUGGACAUUGCUUCUGCUGUCCCCAGCUUGAAGCCCAUGUCAGCCCUGGUGGAAUGGAGCUGGGCUCCGUGGGACACGGCUCAGAUUCUGGCGUGUCUGUAUCUCAGGGAUGGGACCUGCCUGGUAGGAGAGUGGGGACCCUUCUCAGCAACGGGCUCCACUGUGGGGUCAGAAAGUGGUGAUUAGUACAGGUGAGUGCAUCCCUAAGGAGCCGUGCCUGGGCUGGACUGGGCAGGAGAAAGCAGGCCCCACAGGCUGCUGGCCUCAUGGCUUCCUUCCUUCCUGCCUCAUGCACCCACUGUUUGUGGCGUGUGCUGCUGGCAGCCCUGGGGCAGGGGCUGUUUGGGGGACUGGAUCCUGAGGUCCAGGACAGCACAAGUGAUCUCUAGGAUACAGGAUGGGGCCGGAGAGGAAUGAGGCUCUCCAGCGCAGCUGCUUGCGUGGGUCACAGUGACUCAGAGCUAGGAGGCAUGUUGAGUCACGCUCUGCUGGGGCAAGCGGCAGCCUACACAAACCCGAAUGAAUGAGUGUGGCUGUGGCUGCCUGGGGCCAUACCUAAUUACAUUCAAAUUUUCCUGUCUGUAGGGGGCUCAGAGGAAUCCUCUUCCCUUUCACAGCCCCCUGCCCUGUUCUUGGCAGUCUCUCUGGGUUGUCCCUGCUGGUGCGUGUGUGCUGGGGGAAGGGCUCUUACGAGGGUGUUACCCAGGUUCAUCCUUGAGUGAGUUGCACACCAGAUGCUCUGUGCUGGGACUGAGGGGCUAGUGGGUGAAUCCUUAUCCCAGCCACUGUCGGGUGAAGAAGAUGCGUCCAAGGCAUCUCCUGGGCAGAGCUGGUAGCACCUGGAUGCCACAGACCUGCCAGACCCUUCAGUGCUGUUCUGCUUCUCUGCUGUGAAACGUUUUGGGGAGGCUGCUGGUGGUGACUGUCAGUCCAUGAGCUCAUUGUAGCUGCUGCAGGUCUCUGUGGGGAGCUCUGCUUGAGGGGUAGUGUCAGGGCCUAUAGGGGGAGUGCGGGCCAGCAGUAUGGUGCAUCUUGCCUAGCUCCAGCCAGCACCACCAAUACCCUCCCAGCUCCCCACAGGCCCAGCAGCCCAGUUGACUUUCUUUCCAGUGACUCCCAGUCCCCUCCUCAUCUGCUCCACUAGCAGCCAGGUCCCAACCCCUUGGUCCCCUGCGACACAAUGAGA
rnacentral:lncRNA from 1 species